CAGACACUGGGAGGAUUGACAGAGGGGGAGCUCUUUCUUGAUUCGGUGGAUGGUGGUUGCAUGGCCGUUCUUAGUUGGUGGAGCGAUUUGUCCUGGUUAAUAACGCUUGAAACUGAACGGUCAUGGGAAGCAACUUGACCCCCAAUAAAAUACACCAUUUAUCUUAGUAUACUCACUAUGCUUUAAUUAUGGCCCUAUAC
rnacentral:rRNA from 1 species